rnacentral:rRNA from 1 species
GAGGAUGCAAGCGUUAUCCGGAUUCAUUGGGUUUAAAGGGUGCGUAGGCGGCUUGGUAAGUCAGCGGUGAAAUUCCAGUGCUCAACAUUGGUCGUGCCGUUGAUACUGCUGGGCUGGAAUGCGGAUGCCGUGGGAGGAAUGUGUGGUGUAGCGGUGAAAUGUAUAGAUAUCACACAGAACACCGAUUGCGAAGGCAUCUCACGAAUCCGCGAUUGACGCUGAGGCACGAAAGUGCGGGUAUCGAA